CACGGGGGGAGCAAGCGUUGUUCGGAAUUACUGGGCGUAAAGGGCGUGUAGGCGGUCUGGUAAGUGGAAUGUGAAAUGCCUCGGCUCACCCGAGGAUCGGCAUCCCAUACUGCUAGGCUUGAGUUCGGGAGAGGAUGAGGGAAUUCCAGGUGUAGCGGUGAAAUGCGUAGAUAUCUGGAGGAACACCGGUGGCGAAGGCGCUCAUCUGGCCCGAUACUGACGCUGAGGCGCGAAAGCUAGGGGAGCAAACGGG
rnacentral:rRNA from 1 species